GGGAGCGGUUUUGGGGGGACACCAAAAGGGAGAACGCGCUGGGAAUACCAGGUGCUGAAAGCGUUUUC
rnacentral:rRNA from 1 species